rnacentral:tRNA from 1 species
UGGCUUAGACGGUAAAGCAUCUGCCUACAAUGCAGGAGACCUGGGUUCGAUCCCUG